UAGGGAAUCUUCCACAAUGGACGCAAGUCUGAUGGAGCAACGCCGCGUGAGUGAAGAAGGUUUUCGGAUCGUAAAGCUCUGUUGUUGGUGAAGAAGGAUAGAGGCAGUAACUGGCCUUUAUUUGACGGUAAUCAACCAGAAAGUCACGGCUAACUACGUGCCAGCAGCCGCGGUAAUACGUAGGUGGCAAGCGUUGUCCGGAUUUAUUGGGCGUAAAGCGAGCGCAGGCGGAAGAAUAAGUCUGAUGUGAAAGCCCUCGGCUUAACCGAGGAAUUGCAUCGGAAACUGUUUUUCUUGAGUGCAGAAGAGGAGAGUAGAACUCCAUGUGUAGCGGUGGAAUGCGUAGAUAUAUGGAAGAAUACCAGUGGCGAAGGCGGCUCUCUGGUCUGCAACUGACGCUGAGGCUCGAAAGCAUGGGUAGCGAACAGGAUUAGAUACCCUGGUAGUCCAUGCCGUAAACGAUGAGUGCUAAGUGUUGGGAGGCUUCCGCCUCUCAGUGCUGCAGCUAACGCAUUAAGCACUCCGCCUGGGGGAGUACGACCGCAAGGUUGAAAC
rnacentral:rRNA from 1 species